UAGGAAAUGAACAGUCAAUGUGUCAUACGUUUUACAUGACACUAUACAGAAUGAAUAGAAUGUUAAAGGACAAACACGCCAUGCUACAGUCAUACUACAGAGGCCAUCUUAAAUAAACACGCUGGUGCAGAAGGUAUAAAGAAGAUACACUGGAAAGAAGACAUUCCAAUAAUAGGAACUGUUAACUCAUUUGUAGUCAUCAUAUGAAGUUCGUUAAUCAAAUAAAACUGCCGGCUGUAGCCUCUGAGCCCCUCGUGUGUCUCUGUUGCCUCCCUGCUUAUGGGUCCGGUCACUAAAGGAUUUUACUAAAGGAGUAUGCGCAGUCAGCCUAUUGGUAUCACAGCUGGGGGCAGGAAUGAUAAACUUUGUGAUCGCUGUUAUAUUUUUAUGCUGUAAAAUCAACAAGAAUGAAAUAAAGGAUUAAUAUGCUGGCAUGAAAAAGAAAGCUGGGUGGAAAUGAUAGCAAUAGCCCAGUGUGAAGCCUUUCCUGUGAA